AAUAACAAGCCGCACUUAUGGACCGCUGACGUCAUUAAACUGGAUUUUCAUCAAAAUACAGUGAUGUACGGCCGGAUCGAGUUUAUAUAUACAAAGAUGGGAUACAAUUAUGUGAGAUACGUAUGACCGGAGCAUGGUCGUCGGUUCACGGACCUCAAGCUGGGUGUGCUCGAGAGAUGGCCGUUCGCCGAUGUCUCCGGUUCCUUCUCUGUCCAAGGCAAAGAUUCGUUCGAGAUAUUUGUGAAUGGCGAACUUCUGUAUUCUAAACUAGAGACUAAAGAAUUUCCCCAAGAAAAACAGAUGUUAGGACGAAUCCAUGACAAAGUCAAGGGAAGACAAGUCGAAAAGCCGCGUGGAUCAUCUUCCUUUUGCACACUAUUAUAAAACGUUAUUUGAAAUGAAAUUUUCCCACAUUUUAUUAAAUUAGUCCAUGCAUGCAAAAUUAAUGUAUACAUGUAGAAUAAGUGCACCUAUCAAUGUUUGGCCUAACGGGGAGGCGUAGGGACACAUAUACAUAGGGGACUUUAGACAUUGAGUUAUUCUCGACGGAUGGGGUUUAUCUAAGACCCGUCGACUUGAACUGCCACUUGGUAGAUAGUCUUGCCCGUCUGUUUCCCAAAGGGUAUUUGAUACCGGGAUCAAAUGUAAUCCCAGGGAUUUUGACAAAUUUCCUUGCUCAAUGGUUGGGUUAGCAAUGCCAACGCGAUGUUGAAGAAUCAGGCGGCAUUGGUGCUAAUUAGCUGUGUCAGUGUACUUCACAAGGUCACAUUAUUAGAAAAUAUUAAAUUUAGCUACGUGGUCACAAAUUACACAGUUAUCAAAAUAUCGCUAUUUUUUCUGUACAGAAACCAUGUGCUUUUUAGUUUUGAUCAUUAAAAACAUAGUGGAUAAAUGUUUGUUUCAGUGUAAGAUCGUAAUAUAUUUCACCGAGUGAGCAUCAAUAUUCAUAUAAAAAGUAUUUCGCUGUUGGUGUUCUCUUUAAUAGAAACAGUGAAACAUCAAUAUUUCAGUGAUACAUCUCUUUAAACCACCGGAAAGCAUAUAAUAGAAAUAAAUUAAACAUGAUUAUGCAUUAAAUAUGAAAAAGUAUCAACCUACAGUAUGCAGCUUUAAGCAACAGCAUCUUAACCGUGAACUUAUGAAGUACACUGACAAAGAUAACUCCAAUGCCACCCGAUUGUACAGCUUCGCGAUAUUGUACGCAUGAACCAUUAUCAAACAAAAUGAGUAUAAAUUAAUAUUUUCUCACGUCCAUGGGCGGCCUGUUAUGCUAGGCGUCUCCCAGCUAGAGUGCAAAUGUCAUAUAGCUGCGAAAGGUUGUUGCAUUGCAUAGUUAUAUCUGAAAUAUAAUUAAUAAUACCAAAUAAUUAAUGUUUAUAUACAUCUUUAUGACUUAAAUGAAAAUUACAAAUUAUUUAACCCUAACCUAAAUAUUUUUCAAUAAUUUAUUCACUUUCAUACUUUUUCAAGCAGUUAGGUUUCAAACUCUAUUCUAUCCAACUCAAUUCAAUACAUUUAUUUGCUAUAGAUUCCUUGAUGACAUUUUUAAGUCCGUCUUUAUCCCUGGGGUAAUAGAUCGCAUCCGGAAGACCAGAAAUUGGCCCCCUACCCACUCUUCAUCACAUUUGUGUUGAUAUGUUAUAUAAUACGGGUGAAUAACAUGAAAUAACCGAGCUUCCAAUGGUCUUUUUCAGAAAGGCUCCGU